UCCCUGGUGGUCUAGUGGUUAGGACCCAAUGCUUUAACCUCUGAGGCCUGGAUUUAAUUUCUGGUCUGGGAA
rnacentral:tRNA from 1 species